AGUGAACGCUGGCGGUAGGCCUAACACAUGCAAGUCGAACGGCAGCACAGUAAGAGCUUGCUCUUACGGGUGGCGAGUGGCGGACGGGUGAGGAAUACAUCGGAAUCUACUUUUUCGUGGGGGAUAACGUAGGGAAACUUACGCUAAUACCGCAUACGACCUACGGGUGAAAGCAGGGGAUCUUCGGACCUUGCGCGAUUGAAUGAGCCGAUGUCGGAUUAGCUAGUUGGCGGGGUAAAGGCCCACCAAGGCGACGAUCCGUAGCUGGUCUGAGAGGAUGAUAGGGCAGACUGGAACGUAGACACGGUACAGACUCAGACGGGGAGCAGCAGUAGGGGAUCGGCUGCAAUGGGCGGAAGCCUGACGGAGCAACGGCGCUGGAGUGAGAAAGGUCUGCGGAUCGGAAAACUCUGUUAUUAGGGAAGAAAAAAAGUGGAAGUGACUAUGCACGUCUGGACGGGACCGAACCAGAAAGAAACGGCUAAAUAAGUG
rnacentral:rRNA from 1 species